AUUGAACGCUGGCGGCAUGCUUUACACAUGCAAGUCGAACGGCAGCACGGGUGCUUGCACCUGGUGGCGAGUGGCGAACGGGUGAGUAAUGCAUCGGAACGUGCCCAUGAGUGGGGGAUAGCCCGGCGAAAGCCGGAUUAAUACCGCAUACGCCCUUAGGGGGAAAGCGGGGGAUCUUCGGACCUCGCGCUAUUGGAGCGGCCGAUGUCGGAUUAGCUAGUAGGUGAGGUAAAGGCUCACCUAGGCGACGAUCCGUAGCUGGUCUGAGAGGAUGAUCAGCCACACUGGGACUGAGACACGGCCCAGACUCCUACGGGAGGCAGCAGUGGGGAAUUUUGGACAAUGGGCGCAAGCCUGAUCCAGCCAUGCCGCGUGAGUGAAGAAGGCCUCGG
rnacentral:rRNA from 1 species